AUCGCUUUGGAACCAGUUUAGUGGGUACACGACGAGUGUGUAGUACAUUUGAGAUCGCGUGUUAGUUUUCAUGUAGACGUAGCAGUGGUCGAAGCGCGUGACGCUCGUAGGCUACGACUAUUACACUACAUGGUAUUGUAUUGCAGCAAUUUUCGCGGUUCAUUAUCUUUGUGUUUUUGUACCAUUUGUAUUUAUUUGUUUCGUCGGUUUUAAAAACAAUUUAAUCAAUGGUUAUGAAACUUAUAGUGGUGAAUUUUUUAAUUUGGUUUACAUUUAGUUGCCAUGGACAGACAAAAUCAAGAGAAACUCAUUUUCCGGGCUAUCAUUUCUGUGGACCGGGUACGGACUUUUUGGAACGCAUUGCUCGAGGUCAGCUUGGCAUCAAUAAGCUAGACGAAGCGUGCCGGUCACAUGAUUCAGUUUACACGGACAGUACGGAUUUUCAAUUGAGAAUGGAAGCCGACAUGAAAUUGGAGACGGCCGCGUGGGAGAGAGUGAUAGCGAAGGAUAGCACUUACAAGGAGAAAAUCGCUGCAUGGAUGGUGACAAACAUCAUGAAAGUGAAACGAAAGUGGAAUACUCGACGUCUGCAACGGGAAUUUGGCAAAAAACCUAGUGAAUUGUCUGCGACGAACAAAAAACCUCGACGUUCAAAUCGUUCAAUUGACGACCACCAUAAAAGUUGGUUCCGGUACCGAUUAUAAUGAAAAUUAAACAGAGAUUGAAAGAAAAUAAUUUUCGCUUGGACAUAUUAUAAUACCAACAAAGAAUUGUUCCCAAGUGCAAAUCGGCAAUCUGUAAUAUCGUUGAACCUUGAAAUUCAAUAGGCAAUGGAAUGAUGUUUAGCAACUACACGCUGUGAUAUUAUGUUUAAUUAAAUACAUUUUUUUUUUUGUACUGUUGUUGUGAGAUCUAAAGCGAAAUG